UACGGAGGGUGCAAGCGUUAUCCGGAUUUACUGGGUUUAAAGGGUGCGUAGGUGGGUUUGUAAGUCAGUGGUGAAAUCCCCGAGCUUAACUCGGGAACUGCCAUUGAUACUAUAGAUCUUGAAUUAUCUGGAGGUGAGCGGAAUAUGUCAUGUAGCGGUGAAAUGCUUAGAUAUGACAUAGAACACCCAUUGCGAAGGCAGCUCACUACGGAUAUAUUGACACUGAGGCACGAAAGCGUGGGGAUCAAACAGG
rnacentral:rRNA from 1 species